AGUGAACGCUGGCGGUAGGCCUAACACAUGCAAGUCGACCGGCAGCACAGUAAGAGCUUGCUCUUACGGGUGGCGAGUGGCGGACGGGUGAGGAAUACAUCGGAAUCUACUUUUUCGUGGGGGAUAACGUAGGGAAACUUACGCUAAUACCGCAUACGACCUACGGGUGAAAGCAGGGGAUCUUCGGACCUUGCGCGAUUGAAUGAGCCGAUGUCGGAUUAGCUAGUUGGCGGGGUAAAGGCCCACCAAGGCGACGAUCCGUAGCUGGUCUGAGAGGAUGAUCAGCCACACUGGAACUGAGACACGGUCCAGACUCCUACGGGAGGCAGCAGUGGGGAAUAUUGGACAAUGGGCGCAAGCCUGAUCCAGCCAUACCGCGUGGGUGAAGAAGGCCUUCGGGUUGUAAAGCCCUUUUGUUGGGAAAGAAAAGCAGCAGGUUAAUACCCCGCUGUUCUGACGGUACCCAAAGAAUAAGCACCGGCCAACUUCGUG
rnacentral:rRNA from 1 species